UACGUAGGGUGCAAGCGUUGUCCGGAAUUAUUGGGCGUAAAGAGCUCGUAGGCGGUCUGUUGCGUCGGCUGUGAAAACCCGGGGCUCAACCCCGGGCCUGCAGCCGAGACGGGCAGACUAGAGUUCGGCAGGGGAGACUGGAAUUCCUGGUGUAGCGGUGGAAUGCGCAGAUAUCAGGAGGAACACCGAUGGCGAAGGCAGGUCUCUGGGCCAUUACUGACACUGAGAAGCGAAAGCAUGGGGAGCGAACAGG
rnacentral:rRNA from 1 species